AGAGUUUGAUCCUGGCUCAGGACGAACGCUGGCGGCGUGCUUAACACAUGCAAGUCGAGCGAGGCCCCGUCUUCGGGUGGGUGUCCUAGCGGCGAACGGGUGAGUAACACGUGGGCAACCUGCCCCCGGCUCUGGGAUAACUCCAAGAAAUUGGGGCUAAUACCGGAUAUGACCGCUGACCGCAUGGUCUGGUGGUGGAAAGAUUUAUCGGCUGGGGAUGGGCCCGCGGCCUAUCAGCUUGUUGGUGGGGUAGUGGCCUACCAAGGCGACGACGGGUAGCCGGCCUGAGAGGGUGACCGGCCACACUGGGACUGAGACACGGCCCAGACUCCUACGGGAGGCAGCAGUGGGGAAUAUUGCGCAAUGGGCGAAAGCCUGACGCAGCGACGCCGCGUGGGGGAUGACGGCCUUCGGGUUGUAAACCUCUUUCAGCAGGGACGAAGCGCAAGUGACGGUACCUGCAGAAGAAGCACCGGCCAACUACGUGCCAGCAGCCGCGGUAAUACGUAGGGUGCAAGCGUUGUCCGGAAUUAUUGGGCGUAAAGAGCUCGUAGGCGGUUUGUUGCGUCGGCUGUGAAAUCCCGAGGCUCAACCUCGGGUCUGCAGUCGAUACGAGCAAACUAGAGUGUUGCAGGGGAGACUGGAAUUCCUGGUGUAGCGGUGAAAUGCGCAGAUAUCAGGAGGAACACCGGUGGCGAAGGCGGGUCUCUGGGCAACAACUGACGCUGAGGAGCGAAAGCGUGGGGAGCGAACAGGAUUAGAUACCCUGGUAGUCCACGCCGUAAACGUUGGGCGCUAGGUGUGGGGCUCAUUCCACGAGUUCCGUGCCGCAGCUAACGCAUUAAGCGCCCCGCCUGGGGAGUACGGCCGCAAGGCUAAAACUCAAAGGAAUUGACGG
rnacentral:rRNA from 1 species